GGUAUGGCGCAGUUGGUUAGCGCGCUAGAUUGUGGCUCUAGAGGUCGUGGGUUCGACUCCCACUAUC
rnacentral:tRNA from 1 species